rnacentral:rRNA from 1 species
CCAGCAACUUGGGGGAAUGUAUAGCUUCGGCUAGUUAUAUUGGCUGUUUAAGAUAUUUUUAAUAGUUCUUCUGAAAUUAUUUAAGUUAUCUUAUUCAUUUUGAUCUUUUUUUUUAGUGCUUUAUUAGAUCAAUUAAUUUAUGACUAACCCUUACAAAUCUGAAUGCUUAUCUUCGCUCCUGUUAUUCUUAGUUUUAAGUUAAUAAGAGCUUUAUACAUCAGUAGGUUUAGUUAACAAUAUAAUAUCGAUUUUAUCGAAUAAAGUUCUAGAUAUAUUACUGAUUAUGACAAUUUUAUAUCUAUAUGUCUUGACCAAAUUACGUGCCAGCAGUCGCGGUAAUACGUAGAAGACUAGUGUUAUUCAUCUUUAGUAGGUUUAAAGGGUACCUAGACGGUAUAAUUAGUCUUAAAUAGGAUACGGUUAUACUAGAGUUAUAUCUGAGAAGGGGAGUAUUCAUGGAGUAGAGUUGAAAUUCUUUGAUACCAUGAGGACUGGUAACGGCGAAAGCAACCUUUUAUCUAAUAACUGACGUUGAGGGACGAAGGCUCGGGUCACGAACAGGAUUAGAUACCCUAGUAGUCCAAGCAGAGAAUUAUGAAUGCCAUAGAUUAGAUGUUAAUUUAGUCUAUAAAUGAAAGUGUAAGCAUUUCACCUCAAGAGUAAUGUGGCAACGCAGGAACUGAAAUCAUUAGACCGUUUCUGAAACCAGUAGUGAAGUAUGUUAUUUAAUUCGUAGGUACGCGAAAAACCUUACCACAACUUGAAUAUUAUCUUUUUUGCUUAUGUCUAAUAAACUAAGCAGUAAGAAUAUUAUAUUUGCUAAUUUUAUCCUUAUGGAUUAGUCUGCAAUAUAUAUUAUUUUUAAAGAUAUUACAAGCGUUGCACGGCUGUCUUCAGUUAAUGUCGUGAGAUAUUGGUUAAUUCCAUUUAAUUAACGGAAACCCUUGCUUUAUUUAUGAACUUUUAUUUUCCUUGGAAAAUAACCCCAAGCAAAUUAUAUAAGUAGAAAUAAAGCAGUUCACCUUUACAUGGGAAAGAUAAUAGGGACCAAGACCAAGUC